GGGCUUGUAAAGGUUUCGACUGGGGUUUAGAAGCUGGUGAAGCUAUCCGCAUGCAAUGCGUUAAAUGGCAAAAUUAAAUAUAAACGCUAACAAAGAAUUAGCUAUCGCUGCCUAAUGACAGCAGUCUGACCUAGAGCACUCACACUCAAGGACCCAGGCUUCGACUAUGUGAGAAACGACAUAUCCUAAGCUUUGCGGAUAUGGGCGUAUUAUGAAGCUACUGAAGGUAUCAGGACGUCAGUUUCCGGGUACUGGAGGGAAUGUGCCAUUUUGGGUAAAAAUAUCUGACUAUGAUAGUAGAAGAACAGGGGAAGAGCUUUAGGACGCGGGUUCGACUCCCGCCAGGUCCACU
rnacentral:tmRNA from 1 species